GCUCCUUGGGAGUGGGAGGAAGCUGGAGUUGGAGGCAAGGACUUUGCCCUACUGUCCUUUCCCAGAAGGCAGGGCGCUGCUCUUGUAUAGUAUCUGGGCAGUUUCCUAGACCUCUGCACCUCACAGGCUGUGUGACCUUGGCAGGUCCCUGGCACACAGCAGGCUCUUAGUGGACCCCUGUGAGAUGAGCGAGUGAUGUCUGGAAUCAGAUUUGGAGACUCAGCCCUCAUCCAUCCUUACUAAAAAUCACGAUCCGAGGGAGGGGCAGAUGCGGCUGUGGGCAUGAGAGUGAAGAAGAAGCCGGGCUGCACGACUUCAGCAUUGAUUAUUAUAAG